GCGGAGGCUGUUCUGGGCGGGGAGGUCUCGCGAGCUGCAGCAAAGCUAGGCUACCGGCAAGCGGGAAGCGGGGCUGAGUUGUAGCCAGGAGCCGAAAGUCCGAGUGACUGCUGCUGUCAGUCUCCGCGGGCCGGAGCAAACCUCCCGAGACAGGGCGUAGGAGCUUGAGGAGUUCGGAGAGCGGGCUUUGGACUCGUGCCUGGGUCUUUAGUUUGAGCCCUGGCUUCGGCCUUACUCGUAUUUCCCUGCAAGUACGGUCCCUCUCAGUCUUUCCUGAAGUCGGUGGGGUUUGGACUUUAUUAUUAUUAUUUUGUUGAGAGUCCAUUGUAUGGAAGCACCGGUUGACCUGCGCAGCGCGCCGUGGAGACCGCCAUGAGGUAGAAGCUAGGGGAGGGAGGGCUUAGAGAUGCGUGUAUGGUUACCUGCGUGCAGUAUUGGAGGCACUGUUCCGAGUGCGAUGGAUGCAAAGGCCAGGAAGACACUGGCCUGGUUCUUGAGGAAGUACGUGCCAUGGGGCUGAUGGCAGAGAUGGAAGGAGGGGUUAACCUAAGUUUUCUUGGAUGUGGAGAGUGUUGGGCUGCUCUUAGAUAUAGAAGGAUGUGAAAUGGAAUGAUGCGAUGAUGAGUGAAGUAUAGUCUGACCUGGUAUUGCCACUGCUUCGGUGUUGGCCUUGACCAGGGUAUGAUCCCCUAAUCUUCUCUCUGAGCUGAUUCUGGUUGUGGUUUUUCCACAUUGGUUGAGGUGAAAAAUCUGGCUUUUGAGAUCUUCGUGGAGGACUACAUUAUUUCAAUCCUGAAUCUGGUUCAGUUUCCUUAUUGACUUAUGAUAUUAAAAAUGCUUAAUUAAC